AGUGAGCAGGGAGCAGAUUUGCAUGAAGGGGCCGUUCUCCAGCGCUGGGGGUUUAAGAGAGAAUCGGAGGGUCCCAGCCACAGACCCGUUUGCCUCAGGAAGCCGAGCGCAUCUGGAUUCCCACCAUGGCCUGGGCCCCUCUGCUCCUCACGCUGCUCACUUACUGCUCAGGUUCUCUUGCCCAGUACGUGCUGACCCAGCCGCCUGCAGUGUCUGUGUCUCCAGGGCAAAGUGCUCAACUCACCUGCACAGGAGAAAAUGGGACCAGAAUCAGUGGCUAUGGUGUGUUCUGGUACCAGCAGAAACCUGGGAAUUCUCCACAAUACCUGCUGUAUUACUAUUCAGAGUCCGACAAGGGCCAGGGCUCUGGGGUCCCUGCUCACUUCUCCGGUUCCAAAGACACAUCCAGUAACAUCGGCUUUCUGACCAUCUCCGGGACCCUGGUGGAGGAUGAGGCUAAUUAUUACUGUGCUGUGUGGCACAGCAGUGUCAAGAGUUCCAAACAGAAGCAGUGGAACUUCCGAGAGGCCGACUGGGUAAAACACCGGGAAGCGCUGGAGAAGGGUGUGGUGACAACACCAGCCCGGCAUCUCCCGGUAAAUGAGACCUACUGUCGCUUCUGUGGUGCUAUCUAA